rnacentral:rRNA from 1 species
AGUGAACGCUGGCGGUAGGCCUAACACAUGCAAGUCGAACGGCAGCACAGUAAGAGCUUGCUCUUACGGGUGGCGAGUGGCGGACGGGUGAGGAAUACAUCGGAAUCUACUUUUUCGUGGGGGAUAACGUAGGGAAACUUACGCUAAUACCGCAUACGACCUACGGGUGAAAGCAGGGGAUCUUCGGACCUUGCUCGAUUGAAUGAGCCGAUGUCGGAUUAGCUAGUUGGCGGGGUAAAGGCCCACCAAGGCGACGAUCCGUAGCUGGUCUGAGAGGAUGAUCAGACACACUGGAAAUGAGACACGGUCCAGACUCCUACGGGAGGCAGCAGUGGGGAAUAUUGGACAAUGGGCGCAAGCAUGAUCCAGCCAUACCGCGUGGGUGAAGAAGGCCUUCGGGUUGUAAAGCCCUUUUGUUGGGAAAGAAAAGCAGCAGGUUAAUACCCCGCUGUUCUGACGGUACCCAAAGAAUAAGCACCGGCUAACUUCGUG